GACGAACCGAGCGAACGUUGUUCGGAAUCACUGGGCUUAAAGGGCGCGUAGGCGGGCUGCCAAGUCCGUGGUGAAAUCCCCCGGCUCAACCGGGGAAGGGCCUCGGAUACUGGCGGCCUCGAGGGGGGGUAGGGCGUGCGGAACUGUGGGUGGAGCGGUGAAAUGCGUUGAUAUCCACAGGAACUCCGGUGGCGAAGGCGGCACGCUGGACCCCAUCUGACGCUGAGGCGCGAAAGCCAGGGGAGCCGGAACGGG
rnacentral:rRNA from 1 species